rnacentral:rRNA from 1 species
AAUGAACGCUGGCGGCAGGCCUAACACAUGCAAGUCGAGCGGAUGAAGGAAGCUUGCUCUUGGAUGCAGCGGCGGACGGGUGAGUAAUUCCUAGGUAUCUGCCUGGCAGAGGGGGAUAACGUACGGUAACGGGCCCUAAUAUCGUAUACGUUCAGAGAGAGAAAGGGAGGGAUCUUCGGACAUAGCGGUAUCAGAUGUGACUACGUCGCAUUAGCUAGUUGGUGAGGUAAGGGCCUACCAAGGCGACGAUCCGUAACCGGUCUGAGAGGAUGAUCAGUCACACUGGAACUGAGACACGGUCCAGACUCCUACGGGAGGCAGCAGUGGGGAAUAUUCCGCAAUGGGCGAAAGCCUGAUGCAGCCAUGCCGCGUGAGUGAAGAAGGUCUUCGGAUUGUAAAGCUCUUUUAUUAGGGAGGAAGAAAAGUGUAUGAAUCUAUGCAUGUUUUGACGGUACCUAAACAGUAAGCCCCGGCUAACUACGUG